rnacentral:tRNA from 1 species
GACGGUAUAGCUCGGUGGUAGGGUUCCUGCUCAGCAUGCAUGAGGUCCCGGGUUCAAUCCCCAGUACCUCCA